GACGAACGCUGGCGGCGUGCUUAACACAUGCAAGUCGAACGCUGAAGCUCAGCUUGCUGGGUGGAUGAGUGGCGAACGGGUGAGUAACACGUGAGUAACCUGCCCUCUUCUUUGGGAUAACGCCCGGAAACGGGUGCUAAUACUGGAUAUUCACUGAUUCUCGCAUGGGGGUUGGUGGAAAGGUUUUUUCUGGUGGGGGAUGGGCUCGCGGCCUAUCAGCUUGUUGGUGGGGUGAUGGCCUACCAAGGCUUUGACGGGUAGCCGGCCUGAGAGGGUGACCGGUCACAUUAGGACUGAGAUACGGCCCAGACUCCUACGGGAGGCAGCAGUGGGGAAUAGUGCACAAUGGGCGAAAGCCUGAUGCAGCGACGCCGCGUGAGGGAUGGAGGCCUUCGGGUUGUAAACCUCUUUCGCUCAUGGUCAAGCCGCAGCUUUGGGUUGUGGUGAGGGUAGUGGGUAAAGAAGCGCCGGCUAACUACGUG
rnacentral:rRNA from 1 species